GAAAAGCGCCGGAACCGGAGCCUUCCCGUGCUCCGGUGGACGAGGAAAGGGUUUAUCGAGUCGUUCGGCGGGUACCCUUCGGCAGGUUCCGUUGUCGAGAGCUGUGCGCAAAACUGCGGGCAACCGCAGCACAAACC
rnacentral:ncRNA from 1 species